rnacentral:rRNA from 1 species
CUGAUGGAGCAACGCCGCGUGAGUGAAGAAGGUUUUCGGAUCGUAAAGCUCUGUUGUUGGUGAAGAAGGAUAGAGGCAGUAACUGGUCUUUAUUUGACGGUAAUCAACCAGAAAGUCACGGCUAACUACGUGCCAGCAGCCGCGGUAAUA